ensembl:lncRNA
UUUGAGUCUGUUUCGAUUGACUGUUUUUUUCCUGAUUAUAGAUAACAUCUGGCUACUUCUUGACAUAUCAAGUAUUGACAUAUCCACAUAUUAGUGGAUAAUGACCAUUGUGCUGUAUGCUGAGUGUCUGGAUUUUGUGGUUAUCCUUUAAAGAGUGUUGAGCUUUGUUCUAGCAGGGAAAAUAACUUGCUGAUCAGCCUGAUCCCUUCCAGGCUUCUUUCCAAGACGUUUUAGAGCAAGUCUAGAGAAGUCUUAACUCUAGAGACAAUAACACUCUACUAAGGCAUGACACCUCUCUGGUCUCUACUGAAUGUCCCAGGUGAUCUCUCUGCUUAUAGUGGUUGGAGUCUCCUGACUCUGUGACUUCUGUGACCUGCUCAGCCUAUAGCUCCCCAGUCAUCUACUGCCUGGCCUCAUGGAGUUAUGCCUUAGGCAUACAUGUAUGAGUAUUUAGCAAAGACUCUGAAGUACUUUCUCUAUGUUGCUCUCUUUUUUCUGAAAGUCUGCUCCACAAUUUUGAGUCACCUCAACCUCCAAGAUCUUCGAUAUCUGUCCUCUCAACUUACUUAGACUGUGGUGCUCUGCUUAGGAUUCCCUUUCCUGCAGUGAGAUCCAGAAUGUGAUUCCAAGCAGAAAGUCAAGGGCUUACCUCACUUGUUUCCUUUUCUUGGGAAUCAUAAUACAUACUGUCUGUUGUUCAAUUUCUGAAAACAGUUGUUUUGUCUAGUUUUUUCCAGUUUCCUUAUUGUUUAUAACAGGAAGAUAUGUCUGGACCCUAUCAGCCCACCAUGGCCUGAAAUGGAAGUUCAACUAUUAUACUUUUAUUUGUACAUUUACAGAAAAGGGUAAACCUCAAGACUGGAAGCAGGGAUAAUCAUGUUAUAAUAGCAAAAUGAAACAUGUACAAAGAGUGAUGUCUAAGAUGUAUUCAUUAAAGGAAGUAUGGUGUCUAAGACUAGGAAAGUGAUAAUCCAACUUAAUUCCACUCCACACACAACUGGCCUUGCUCCUCCAUUCAUUUAUUCCAUAAAUCUGUUUUGAGCACAAUCUUUGUCACUGUGCUAAGCCACUGUGUUAAGCUAACAGGAUGAAUGAGAUAUAGCCUUUGUCCUCAUAGGCUAGGGAGAAAUAGACAGCAUGGAAAUAACAAUACAUUAUGAUAAGUAAUAUAGGAGAGAGAAUCCCAGGGGUUAUGAGAACACAAAGGAUGGAAAGCUGUCCAACUUGAGUGGGGGUGGGAGUAUCAAGAUGCACUGUCUAUACCUUUGUGUCUUUGGACCCGUUGUGACACUUCCCAUAUUUGAGAGGUAACUUGAAGCUGUCAAGUCAAGACAUUACAUAUACAAAUCCAUGCUAUUUAUUAUGACCAUUAUUUCAUAAAACUAAAGACAUCUCAUCCUUUAAAAUAAAAGGAUAAAGGACAAUGUUUUCAAUGGAUUAAAUUUUGACAUAUGGAAAAUUAAAAAAAAAAGAUGGCUGUCUACAGGAGAUAAUGACUUAGGAGUGGAGUCUUGAUGGAUGAGUAAGAAUGUGUCAGAUGAAGAAAGUGGGAGGAAUUAGGGUUAAAGCACACACAUGCAAAACUAUAUUUAAUUUCUUUAGGGAAUUAUAUAUAUUUCAGAGUAGAUGAAGUGUCACAUGGAAAGAAUAAGAGUGGAGUGAGAUGAAGCUAAAAAGAGAUGUAGGAGCUGAGUAAUAUAAGGUAUUAUUUUAAAACUUAAUUCUAUUCUAGGAGAACUGAGGAACUAUUGAAUAGUUUAUCCAGGUGAAUAACAUGGUCUAAUUUCUUUUUGAAUGUCAUGGGCUGUAGUUUGGAAAACAGGGAUAUAUGGAGGAAACAAUAAUCCAUCAGGGAUACUUAGCAUUAAUUUAGGCAAAAGAUGCUUUGGACCUAUGGACAGUCUAUGGGGUCACACAGAGUUGGACACGACUGAAGUGACUUAGCAGCAGCAGCUUUGGACCUAAGCUGUUAUUAGAAAUGGGAACUGAGAUAGUAGAUGAGUGAGAGGUAUUUAUAAGCUGUAAACAACUGAGCCUGAAGACUGGCCAGAUUUGGGGAGUAGGAAAGAGGCAGAAGCCAUAGACAGUACUUGGAGUUUCGCUAGGAUGACUCAAGUUUUCUAUUAAGGGAUAGCAGAUUUCUUUGUUUCUGUCUGAAUUGAUAUUGUUUUGCCACGUGUGUGAUUCUAGCCUUCAGGUUACCUGGGCCUGUGUACUUCCUUUGGGUAUUUGAAAUUGUUUCCUGUCUGCUAAGCUGCCUUUCAUCUCCUGCCUCUGCUAAUAGAAUCUGUGAGCCAGUACUCCUGGCUGCUCUCCUGGUUCUGCUUGGACUACCAGGCUGGGUAACUUAUCGGGUCUAUCUAAUUUUUCUAUGGGACUUCCCAUAUCUAUUUCUAUGACUCAUGGAAAAUUAUGACAUGGAGCUGGCAAAAUAAUACUUGGAAGUCAGCAGUAGAAGGCAGUCAGGCACCAUGUGGUACAAUAUGGCAAUUUUGUCACCAAAUAAUUAAAAGCAUAGAUUUAUCAUUUCAUUGAUACAUUCACUCAACAUGUUGCAAUUUUACUAUCCUUCAUAGGUCAAAUAUAUUGAUAACUUAUUAAUAAUUAUAACUCCCCCAUGUAUAGAUAUAGAUAUAGUCUUGCAAGAUUGUAUUGGGUAAGAAAGAUGUUGAUUUCCUUGCACUCUGGAGAUCAAUACUGAAGGAUAGAGGUUCAACCGUCCUGGGUGUUCAUUGGAAGGAGGGAUGCUGAAGCUGAAACUCCAGUACUUUGGCCACCUCAUGCAAAGAGUUGACUCAUUGGAAAAGACCCUGAUGCUGGGGAGGGAUUGGGGGCAGGAGGAGAAGGGGACGACAGAGGAUGAGAUGGCUGGAUGGCAUCACUGACUCUAUGGUCAUGAGUUUUAGUGAACUCCGGGAGAUGGUGAUGGACAGGGAGGCCUGGCGUGCUGUGAUUCAUGAGGUCGCAAAGAGUCGGACACGACUGAGCGACUGAACUGAACUGAAGAGCUGAUCAAGAAAAACUGUUGGGACCAUGGCAAAGACUUCUUGCUGUUUUGCUAUAUGGGUUCUCCUCUCCUAUUUUGGUAAUAGAACUGCUAAUUUUUAGCCCUUGGAGAAGGAAAUGACAACCGCUUCAGUAUUCUUGCCUGGAAAAUCCCAUGGACAGAGGAGCCAGCGGGUUACAGUCUCUGGGGUCACAAAGAGUUGGACCUAGCAACUCCAUAACAUAAGAGCCCCUAUUGUCUGAACUAGGGCCAUAAAAACCAAGGAUUACCACCUCCCACUGAUGAGGUGCCCACAGGCCACCCCUCACCCAUGGCAGAGAGCAGAUGAAGAGGAACAGGUAGUGGGCCUGGAGGAUCAAAUAGAUGGCAUGUGGGAAUUAUGUAACUACACUUUGGCCAGUGGAACAGAAUUAGAAAUAGAGUGAUCAGCUUUGAGGGGCACACCUUUAAAAGAUGGGGCAUGUCCUUCUCCUUCCUAUAUGCUGGACUGGUGACUGGAAUUUGAGCAGCCAUCUUGGUCAUGAGAUGAAAGCUCUAUCCUGAGAUUGGCAGAACAUGAGAGAGGGAACUUGGAUGAUCAGCAGGCAUCUCCACACCUCUCCUCUGCACACAGCCCUUCUUUCAAGCUCCAGGAGAGUCUGUGACAAGGAGUGGGCUCCCUCUGCAAGACAUCCUGAUUCCUUUGAAGAAAGGCAGCCAGGAAAUGUGAAGCAUGGUAAUGGUGGCCUUUUCAGGAGUGGGUGGGCUGUUUUAUUACUAAGAGUUGAGUGACAGGCUUCCCAGCAGACUCGAAAGACAGAGCAAGAAGAGCUUGCUUCUUCACAGCACUGAGUGAUGCUCGCUGAGGGGUUAUGGUUCUGAUAGCUGAACAGCCAAACAGCUUUCCUCCUCCAGUGUUUGAAGGUCUGGUCUACACCCUCCCAGGAAUGCAGCCAUAGAAUUAGGAGUCCAAACUUCAGGAAGGUAGGCACUGGGAAGAAGAUUUGGACCCAUUUGAAGAAAGAACAUCAGAGCAGGCAGGACUGGUUUCUGAGUCCCUGCUAUGAACAGGUUUUUUGGACGGGUGACCCGCAAACACCCUUCCCAGGCCCAUGAUUUUGAGAUGCCAUGAGUCAGGGGUGCAGGCCUUGUUCUGACACUGCCCCUCACACACCAGCCUCAUUCAAAGCCUCAGUCAACAUUUGCUGCUGGCCUGCUGGGCACAGUAAGAUCUGAGAGGCACUUAGAUGAAAUGACACCUGAAUCACUUCAGCUUUAACGCCCAGUCAAUCUCUUUCUAGGAGCUGAGACGGUAGCACCGAUAUCCUUAAAAUGACAUCACAACAAAAAGAGAGUUAACACCAUGUAUGCCAAUUGUGUGUGUGUGAGGGGGGAAGGGGUUGGUCACCCAAUUUGUGGAUCAUGUGGCCUCAAGCAAGAGCUUCGACCUCACCACUCAGCAAACACAGGUAGCUUCACUGUACUUGUUGGUUCCAUGGUGAAUCAAGACCUUGGAAUUCUUCACGAGGAUAUCAAAUCUCUUCAAAUUCCAAGAACAGUUAGGAAGCCUUUCACCCCUCGAAAUCUUUGUACCUGCUAUUGCGUCCUCUUCCUACAACCCUUACAGCCUGUUUCAGGUGUCUAAUGCUGUGUUAACAAAGCACCCCAAACAUAAUGCUUUAUAAUAAAACCACAAAAAUCUCUAUCUUGCCCCCAAAUCUGCAAUUUAGGCAGACUGAGAGGGAACGGCUCGACUCUGCUUCAUUCAGUGUCAGCUGGGUGUCUCUAAGGCCGGGGGCUGAAAUUAACCAAAGGAGGGGUCCCUGGGCAUCUCCCUCCACUGCGCAUGGCUUUUCCACGUGGUGUCUACCGCGUGUCAGUUUCAGGGUAGCCAGACGUCUUACCAGACAUCUCAGGCCUCCCGAGGCAUAUAUCCCGAGACAGGGAGACAGAAAACCAAGCAAAAUCCAGGUUGCCUUUCAGUGACCUAACCUCAGAAGUCACAUGCAUCGCUUCUCCGCCCUCUCUGGGAGGAAGCAGUCAAAAGCCGCCACCCAGAUUCCUGAGCAGGGAACGCAGAGCCCCCUGCUUCUCCAUAUGAGGCAGGCCAGUCUCACUGUGAGAGGAGCAUAUGGGACGGGAGAUACAGCUUGCUGCGUCCAUUUCCAAAAGGUAUAAUCUGAAUCCACUCUUUUCUGUCUGAAAAACCCUUCUUAUGCUUCAAGACCCGGCUCAAACAUCACCGCCUUUAUAGAGCCCCCAAGUUCCUAAGAGCAGGUUACCUCCUUGAUGAGGCCUAACUGCACUUUGUACCUCUGCUUUCAGAGCACGUAGCACCCUGAAAUGACAUCUGUCUCUUUCUGGAGUCUGUGAAUGGCG